rnacentral:misc_RNA from 1 species
GUGAAUCAUCAAAUUUUUGAACGCAUAUUGCACUAUCUGGUAUUCCGGAGAGUAUGCCUAUUUGAGGGUCAUUUGAAAUAAAAUAAAUUUCGAGACUUUUUUGAUAUCAAAUAGGGGUCGGUCUAGCUUUCGUGUGGUGGUCGCCUAAAAUGCUAGACAAGCUCAUUUCUUGGGCUGCGUGAUACUUUUAGUUAUCUCGUGACUUUAUAAGAAAUCUUCGAGUGUGUUAAGAAAUGAGCAAGAAAUAAAUC